GGGGCUGUAGCUCAGUGGUAGAGCACAUGCUUCCACAUAUAAGGCAUUGGGUUCAAUCCUCAGCACCA
rnacentral:tRNA from 1 species